AGUACGGUCGCAAGGCUGAAACUUAAAGGAAUUGGCGGGGGAGCACCGCAACCUGAGGAUUGUGCGGUUUAAUUGGAUUCAACGCCGGAAAACUCACCAUAGCCGACGGACAGAUGAAGGCCAGCGUAACGAGCUUGCCGGAUUGUUCGAGAGGUAGUGCAUGGCCGUCGUCAGUUCGUACCGCAAGGCGUUCUGUUAAGUCAGAUAACGAACGAGACCCUCAUCCCUAUUUGCUAACCCGAUCUCCGGAUCAGGCGCACUAUAGGGAGACCGCUGGCGCGAAGUCAGAGGAAGGCGAGGGCAACGGUAGGUCAGUAUGCUCCGAAUGCUAUGGGCUACACGCGCAAUACAAAGGACGGGACAAUGGGCUGCUGCUCCGAAAGGAACGAUGGCUAUCCCGAAACCCGUUCGUAGUUCGGAUUGAGGGCUGUAACUCGCCCUCAUGAAGCUGGAUUAGGUAGUAAUCGCGUCUCAAAAAGGCGCGGUGAAUAUGCCCCUGCUCCUUGCACACACCGCCCGUCAAAC
rnacentral:rRNA from 1 species